ACGUGAGUGCCGGCCGCGCGCGUGGUUUUAAAGACAAAAUGGACGCUGUCAGUACACAUCUAAAGUGGCUUCUACUCGAACAAAAUACAAGUUUUUACUGCAGAUCCAGGGACAGAAAGACCACAAACUACCACGUAAGGUUGACCAUCAUCAAAGAGAUCUACCUGUCAACAAAGUUUGGCUGGCCUGUUGUAAAUGAGCUGCAUGCACUGUCCAGUAGAAGAAAGGCUUGCCACCACCAUAGAAAUCUACGCAACAACAAGUAGGUCUAGGGGCUUGAGACUGGACUAUGAUAAAGGAGCUGCAUGAUCUCCCUAGUAAAAUGCUGGCUACAGACAGGCCAUUGUCAUAUGAAGUCCACCUCUUCAGAAGUAGAUGCCUGAUGCGAUUGCAGCACAUACCUGUACAAGAUUCAACAAUGUCUUCUCCAUGAACAGUGAGGACGUCAUCUCCACAAUGAUCUUCCCAUCAACCAAGUAGAUGUCAUGAGACCUGCAGUUGAUGAGCUUCAUAACAAUGUACAAUGAGUCUGAUAUAAAUGAACAGCUCUCUCCUUGAUAAAAGCUACAGACAGAUGCCAUUUGUCAGAUGGAGUCUACCUCUUCAAAAGUAGAUACAUGAUGCACAUGCAGCCAAGUGUCACAACAAUGUCUUCCCCAUCAACAGCGGGGGCAGUCAUCAGACAGCGAGGGCAGUCAUCAGACAGCGAGGGCAGUCAUCAGACAGCGAGUGCAGUCAUCUCAACAGCGAGGGCAGUCAUCUCAACAGAGAUCUACUUAUCAACCAAGUAGAUGUCUGAGACCUGCAGUUGAUGAGCUUCCUAACAUUUUACAUUGAAUCAGAUGGUGUCUACCUGUCACACAUUUCCGAGACCUGCAACUGCGUAUAGUCAUCCCACUGUCAACAUAUCACCAGUUAAGAUGUGUGAGGGUUACGCAAGAGGAAGGUAAAAUACCUGUGGUUGUUUUACACUAACAUCAAAGGGUGGUCUGUUUUUGCAGCACUCAUACCAACAGAAUAUCUCGUCACAUGCCACAACAUUUUUGGGGAUGAAAUGCUGGCACCAGCCUAACCCGAAAUGAGAGGUCUGUCCCUACAGAUUGAUUACAGAUUUAAAAGAUAGGAAACAUGUUUUUGAUUAACAAAACCCCUGUAACUGUACAAAAUUACAAUUUUAAAUAAUUAAAAAGGUUUUUAGUACAAACCAUUGAUAUUUCUUCUCAAGUUAAACCAUAAACUAGGAAUGAAAUUAUUUCGCAUCGAAUGAUGAUAAGUAAAAGAUCUGGAAUGUGCUGAACACCAUGCCUGACCUAAAACAAAUUUUAAAAAUUUAGUUAAAGGAA